rnacentral:ncRNA from 1 species
AGUUGAAUAGGCGAUGGAGUUCGCCAUAACCGCCGUCUAGGCUAAUGACUCCUACCAGAGA